CCCGCCGUAGCUUAGUGGCAGAGCACUCGGCUGUAGACCGAGGCUCUUACGGUCGCCGGUUCAAAUCCGGUCGGCGGGACCA
rnacentral:tRNA from 1 species